AUAUGCCAAAAGUGCACCUGAAUCUGUUAUGGCCAAGAUCAAAAUUUGAUCCAUCAACUCAAACAAUUCUCGAAUCAAUAGUCUCCUUUCCAAUGAUAUAUGUGUCAAGCUGCCAGAAGAUUUCCUGCUCAAGGCAUCUGCCACUACAUUCGCCUUACCGGGGUGAUACUGGAUGAUAUAGUCAUAAUCUUUCAGAAGUUCCAUCCAUCUCCUAUGCCUUAAAUUUAAGUCUCUUUGUUGGAAAAUAUACUUAAGCUUUUGUAGUCGGUG
rnacentral:misc_RNA from 1 species